UGUCCCUCAUCGUGCAUUGUGAUAACGUCACACCCAAACAGGAAACAUUUCACUACCGGGUGAUUCCAGCAGACUGGAUUUCCAUCUCAAACUCCCUGUUUCACCCCAAAAAUGUCUCAGGAUACCUGGUUGCAGAAUUACGAUGCCACUUGUCGGCUGGCACAAGAAAUUGCUGAAAACAUCCACGAACGCAACAGAGAGCAAAAAACAGGGGGCAACCCAGCGAAGAUAAACAUGGCACUUCGGGCAUCUCUUCAGAAGCUCAAACAAAGUAUUGGCCAGCUUAAAGACAGUUUGCUGAGAGCUUCUUCGUCACGUCGCAUAAUGCAGUCAGAAGCAGACAGGCGGCAGAAUCUCAUUGAUGACCUGCUGACCAGGGAGAAACAGCUCAAUGCCACUUUUAAAGGCGACAUCACAGAACCGGCUCCAUUCCGGUCCGCCUUGAUGGCAGGAGGAGCGGGAGCAAGCGACGGAGUCUCAGCCAACCCGUGGCUCAUUAAUGAAUCAGAAGAAACCAGGGGGUUGACUUUUGGAGAGAUUAAACAGCAGCAGCAACGAAUCAUAGAAGUCCAGGAUGCAGGACUAGAUGCCCUUGCGGCAGUCAUUACCCGGCAGAAGAUAAUGGGACAGGAGAUUGGCAAUGAGCUGGAUGAACAGAACGAAAUCAUCGAUGACCUUUCGCAUCUCGUGGAUAAGACGGACGGCCGCAUUCGCAAUGAGACACGACGAGUGCAGCUGGUGGAGAAAAAGUCUGCCUCCUGUGGGAUGCUGGUGGUGAUUGUGUUGCUUCUCAUUGCGAUUGUCGUGGUGGCUGCGUGGCCGCUGUAGCCAGCGUGGAUGCCGACAUGCUUGGAUGACUUGUGGAUGAGGGAAUGGUAGGAUGCAAACGCAGAUGAAGACGUUCUCUCUUCGAGCAAUGUUGUCACUUUGUUCAUGGAGAUCCCAUCCAAAGCUAUUCAGGUCAUGUAUUUUUUUUUAAUGACAUUUACACUUCACAACGCCACUUUUCCUAGCUGAUUGUAUUUUAAUUUUGUGAUGAUAUAUUUUGUGAUUAUAUAUUAAGAUUUUGUGUUUGCCAAGUGUAUCUUAAUGGACUAUUGUUUGAUUUAUCCGAAGAAGCGCAUAUAAAUCUAUAAUUAAAGACACCGAAAGGCCACA